rnacentral:rRNA from 1 species
AGUCGAACGAUGAUGCCCAGCUUGCUGGGUGGAUUAGUGGCGAACGGGUGAGUAACACGUGAGUAACCUGCCCCUGACUCUGGGAUAAGCGUUGGAAACGACGUCUAAUACUGGAUAUGAUCACCGGCCGCAUGGUCUGGUGGUGGAAAGAUUUUUUGGUUGGGGAUGGACUCGCGGCCUAUCAGCUUGUUGGUGAGGUAAUGGCUCACCAAGGCGACGACGGGUAGCCGGCCUGAGAGGGUGACCGGCCACACUGGGACUGAGACACGGCCCAGACUCCUACGGGAGGCAGCAGUGGGGAAUAUUGCACAAUGGGCGAAAGCCUGAUGCAGCAACGCCGCGUGAGGGAUGACGGCCUUCGGGUUGUAAACCUCUUUUAGUAGGGAAGAAGCGACUGAGUUUACUCUGAGUGACGGUACCUGCAGAAAAAGCACCGGCUAACUACGUGCCAGCAGCCGCGGUAAUACGUAGGGUGCAAGCGUUGUCCGGAAUUAUUGGGCGUAAAGAGCUCGUAGGCGGUUUGUCGCGUCUGCUGUGAAAUCCCGAGGCUCAACCUCGGGCUUGCAGUGGGUACGGGCAGACUAGAGUGCGGUAGGGGAGAUUGGAAUUCCUGGUGUAGCGGUGGAAUGCGCAGAUAUCAGGAGGAACACCGAUGGCGAAGGCAGAUCUCUGGGCCGUAACUGACGCUGAGGAGCGAAAGCAUGGGGAGCGAACAGGAUUAGAUACCCUGGUAGUCCAUGCCGUAAACGUUGGGCGCUAGAUGUAGGGACCUUUCCACGGUUUCUGUGUCGUAGCUAACGCA